GGGAAGUAGUUCCACUAAGAGUGACACAGACUGUGGGGAUUAUGAUGGGCUGCAUCUUAUGUAAUUGUGGGAUGUGGUGAGGCUCCAGUCACUGUAGGUCAGCAGGACCUGUGGCUGGGAAGAAAAGCUGGACAGAAAGUGGUGACCGCAAGGACAAGUUGAAAUCCGUGAGGACAUACUGGAACCCGUAGAGACAAAUGGGAACCUGUGAGCACAAAUUGGUACUGUUUCUGUCUCUCACUGCCUGCAAGUUUGAUGGCAUGGGUGAUCUGAAGAAGGAGUGACACCUUAGGCCACAUUUCUGAACAGGACUUGGCCUAAGACUUGAAGAGACAGGAGGAGCUGGAGGAGAGGGGGUCCAAGUGGCUGCCCUUCCCAGCAAGAAGAGCCAGUGGGUCAGUGACAAUAUGCCCCAGCUCUGGUUGUAAGCUACUUGCCUAUCAUCUGUAGCCUAGGCAAUGAUGAAGGAAAUGAAGAAAGGAUGGAAAAAAGGAAAGAAGAAGGGAUAGAAGGAGGAAAAAAAGAAAGAGAAGGGGAAAAGGAUAGAAGAAGGAAACACCUUUAUAGCAGCAUGCUGUGGAA
rnacentral:lncRNA from 10 species